GACGAACGCUGGCGGCGUGCUUAACACAUGCAAGUCGAACGGAAAGGCCCUGCUUUUGUGGGGUGCUCGAGUGGCGAACGGGUGAGUAACACGUGAGUAACCUGCCCUUGACUUUGGGAUAACUUCAGGAAACUGGGGCUAAUACCGGAUAGGAGCUCCUGCUGCAUGGUGGGGGUUGGAAAGUUUCGGCGGUUGGGGAUGGACUCGCGGCUUAUCAGCUUGUUGGUGGGGUAGUGGCUUACCAAGGCUUUGACGGGUAGCCGGCCUGAGAGGGUGACCGGCCACAUUGGUACUGAGAUACGGCCCAGACUCCUACUGGCGGCAGCAGUGGGGAAUAUUGCACAAUGGGCGGAAGCCUGAUGCAGCAACGCCGCGUGCGGGAUGACGGCCUUCGGGUUGUAACCCGCUUUCGCCUGUGACGAAGCGUGAGUGACGGUAAUGGGUAAAGAAGCACCGGCUAACUACGUG
rnacentral:rRNA from 1 species